rnacentral:rRNA from 1 species
GUGCCAGCCGCCGCGGUAACACCGGCAGCCCGAGUGAUGGCCGAUAUUAUUGGGCCUAAAGCGUCCGUAGCUGGCCGAGCAAGUUCGUCGGGAAAUCCACGCGCCUAACGUGUGGGCGUCCGGCGAAAACUGUUCGGCUUGGGACCGGAAGACCCGAGGGGUACGUCCGGGGUAGGAGUGAAAUCCCGUAAUCCUGGACGGACCACCGAUGGCGAAAGCACCUCGGGAGGACGGAUCCGACAGUGAGGGACGAAAGCUAGGGUCUCGAACCGGAUUAGAAACCCUAGUAGUCC